CCUACGGGAGGCAGCAGUGAGGAAUAUUGGACAAUGGGCGCAAGCCUGAUCCAGCCAUGCCGCGUGCAGGAUGAAGCAUCUAUGGUGUGUAAACUGCUUUUAUACAGGAAGAAACCUCCCGACGUGUCGGGAAUUGACGGUACUGUAAGAAUAAGGAUCGGCUAACUCCGUGCCAGCAGCCGCGGUAAUACGGAGGAUCCAAGCGUUAUCCGGAAUCAUUGGGUUUAAAGGGUCCGUAGGCGGGCCAGUAAGUCAGUGGUGAAAUCUCUCCGCUCAACGGGGAAAUGGCCAUUGAUACUGCUGGUCUUGAAUUAUUAGGAAGUAACUAGAAUAUGUAGUGUAGCGGUGAAAUGCUUAGAGAUUACAUGGAAUACCAAUUGCGAAGGCAGGUUACUACUAAUGGAUUGACGCUGAUGGACGAAAGCGUGGGUAGCGAACAGGAUUAGAUACCCUGGUAGUCCACGCCGUAAACGAUGGAUACUAGCUGUUGGGGGCAACUUCAGUGGCUAAGCGAAAGUGAUAAGUAUCCCACCUGGGGAGUACGUUCGCAAGAAUGAAACUUAAAUGAAUUGACCGGNUGAGACGCGAGACGACACGAGGGAGGUUAGGAG
rnacentral:rRNA from 1 species